rnacentral:lncRNA from 1 species
GUUCGGGAAGGUCGGGAGGGGCGGAUCCCGGUGAUGGCGCGCGGCGGUCACGCGCGGGGCGCGCCGCGCGGGAUUUUCGGCCGCCUUCCUUGCGGGGAAGAAGACCCCGACAGGUGGGGCCCACCUGUCGGUGGCUCAUGCGGCGUGGGCGAGCGGCUGGGCCGGCGGGGCGGCGGCGCGUGCGAGGGAGUUGGGCCGGUUCGGCCCAAUUCGGCCGGGCUGGUCCGUUUGCUCCCCUUUUUGUUCUUUUACCUUUUUCUUUUUCUGUUUUUCUUAUUCCUUUGAUAUCUUUUGAUUUUGAACUCCAAAUUGGUCCAAACAAGUCCCAGAAAAUUUGUAAAAUCAUGUUCUACCAUGAUACAACUUUUGGAACGCGCUCAUGUCUGCUCAUUAAAUGCGCCGUGUGGAUCACUCCUUACCCUGGCGAAACUGCACACUGGGCGCCUGGCACGCACCCACG